rnacentral:rRNA from 1 species
AACGCUAGCUACAGGCUUAACACAUGCAAGUCGAGGGGAGACGACAUCGAAAGCUUGCUUUUGAUGGGCGUCGACCGGCGCACGGGUGAGUAACGCGUAUCCAACCUGCCCACCACUUGGGGAUAACCUUGCGAAAGUAAGACUAAUACCCAAUGACGUCUCUAGAAGACAUCUGAAGGAGAUUAAAGAUUUAUCGGUGAUGGAUGGGGAUGCGUCUGAUUAGCUUGUUGGCGGGGUAACGGCCCACCAAGGCGACGAUCAGUAGGGGUUCUGAGAGGAAGGUCCCCCACAUUGGAACUGAGACACGGUCCAAACUCCUACGGGAGGCAGCAGUGAGGAAUAUUGGUCAAUGGGCGAGAGCCUGAACCAGCCAAGUAGCGUGCAGGAUGACGGCCCUAUGGGUUGUAAACUGCUUUUAUACAGGAAUAAAGUUAGCCACGUGUGGCUAUUUGUAGGUACUGUAUGAAUAAGGACCGGCUAAUUCCGUGCCAGCAGCCGCGGUAAUACGGAAGGUCCAGGCGUUAUCCGGAUUUAUUGGGUUUAAAGGGAGCGUAGGCCGUCUGUUAAGCGUGUUGUGAAAUGUAGAUGCUCAACAUCUGAAUUGCAGCGCGAACUGGCAGACUUGAGUGUGCGCAACGUAGGCGGAAUUCGUGGUGUAGCGGUGAAAUGCUUAGAUAUCACGAAGAACUCCGAUUG